rnacentral:rRNA from 1 species
AAACCAACAGGGAUUGCCUUAGUAACGGCGAGUGAAGCGGCAAAAGCUCAAAUUUGAAAUCGGCCACCAGGUCGAGUUGUAAUUUGUAGAUUGUAUCUUGAGAGCGGAUUAAAGUCUGUUGGAACACAGCGCCUUAGAGGGUGACAGCCCCGUAAAAUCUAUUCUCAUUGUAAGAUACUUUCGAAGAGUCGAGUUGUUUGGGAAUGCAGCUCUAAGUGGGAGGUAAAUUCCUUCUAAAGCUAAAUAUUGACGAGAGACCGAUAGCGAACAAGUACUGUGAAGGAAAGAUGAAAAGCACUUUGAAAAGAGAGUGAAAAAGUACGUGAAAUUGUUAAAAGGGAAGGGUAUUGAAUCAGACUUGGUGCUGUUGUUCAACUGUGUUUCGGCAUAGUGUACUCAGCAGUACUAGGCCAAGGUGGGGUGUUUGGGAGUGAAAAAGAAGUUGGAAGGUAACUCUUCGGAGUGUUAUAGCCUACUUUCAUAGCUCCUCAGGCGCCUCAGGACUGCGCUUCGGCAAGGACCUUGGCAUAAUGAUUCUAUACCGCCCGU